AGGAUUUUUAUUGACCUAUUUUUGAGCCUACCUUAUUGCUCUUAUUCAGAAUUGGAGUUGUCAUUUUAUACUUAAAAGGUCAUUGUCACAGCAAUUUUACUCUUUAUGUAUAUUGGUGAACUAUAUAUGAUAAACACGAAUAUUGUAAUAUCUUCUAUCUUUGAGAAUAUUGUUCAUACCCACGGCAAAGGCUGGAUGGGAUUUUGAAAUUUACAAACAUUGACCAUUUUGAUCACGACCCCUGAUGAAGUCCUAUAUGGACGAAACGCGUUGGGUUUUCACGCAUUUGUGAAUUUGAGCAUACAUCUGAACGCUUUGGUGGAAGAAUUGAUAUUCGAUUUAAGUGUAGUCAUCACCAAACAGAAUUCGUAAGAUGAUUUUCAAUCUAUAUUGUCCACUUAUGGUAUAAAGUUAUCUACUUGUUUUACUGAUGUUUUUAUGUAAUAUUGCAGUAUUCACUGUCAAGUUUUAAGAAUAAAUACAUCUAUAUGUGACAUCUGAGGUGGUUCA